UACGUAGGGAGCAAGCGUUGUCCGGAAUCAUUGGGCGUAAAGCGCGCGUAGGUGGCCCCCGUAAGUCCGCUGUGAAAGUCAAAGGCUCAACCUUUGAAAGCCGGUGGAUACUGUGGGACUAGAGUACGGAAGAGGCGAGUGGAAUUCCUGGUGUAGCGGUGGAAUGCGCAGAUAUCAGGAGGAACACCAAUAGCGAAGGCAGCUCGCUGGGACGUUACUGACACUGAGGCGCGAAAGCGUGGGGAGCGAACAGG
rnacentral:rRNA from 1 species